CUGACUAAUGCUGCCCGGCCUUUCCCAGGGAGCGCUGUCUGCUGCCUUCUGGGCAGGCUGUGUUUUUCCUCUGUACUCUGGAGCCUCUCAGCUCCUCUGGCCUGCCUGGCACAGAAAGUUCUUAUUCAGUGGAAAACCCAUCCAAGUAUUAUGCAUAAGAUAGACUCUUCCUACAUAACCAAAGAGGCAAACCUAUGUCUUGGGUCUGGUCCCCAUAUGAAGAUGAAGGCCAGAAUGAAGGUCAUUUGAGUUGGUGACUCUGGGUCUUACUUUGAUGUACUGGUAACCAGACUCUCUACAGAAAGAAGUCUUGAUUUGUAGAGUUUGCCAAAUUCACUGUGUAAAUACUCCAACCAUAAAUAAACGCAA